rnacentral:rRNA from 1 species
GACGAACGCUGGCGGCGUGCUUAACACAUGCAAGUCACGGGGCCGCAGGCGACGCGACGGUGCGUAACACGUGAGCAACCUGCCGAUCUGAGGGGGAGUAGCCGGCCCAACGGCCGGGUAAGUACCGCAUACGCUUUCUUGGCCUCCUGGCUAGGGAAGGAAACCUCCGGGGCGAGAUCGAGGGGCUCGCGGCCUAUCAGCUAGUUGGCGGUGUAAUGGACCACCAAGGCGACGACGGGGUAGCUGGUCUGAGAGGA